rnacentral:lncRNA from 1 species
CUCUCUCUGUGUGUGUGUGUGUGUGUGUGUGUGUGUGUGUGUGUGUGUGUGUAAGCCUGUGGGGCAUGGAUGAAAGGAUGUAUAUUUCUGAUAUCCUCCCUUGUAAAUGGGUGGGUUUUUUUUUCUUUCUUUUUUCUUUUUCAGUGGAAGUAUGCCAAUACUCAGGUCCUGGAGAAGGAGGGGCCCGAGAAAGUCUGGUCUGAAUAUUUAAAAUUAUAUCUUUAUAAAACAAGGUCUGUGAAAAUGAACUAAGUUUCCUUACCAGUGUUACAUGAAUAAUCACUACAAAAUAAUAAUGGAAACCCAUACCUGUCUCUCCUUGGAAAGGAGGAAAAGAUUAAUAAGAAACACUGCCUUCCAACAACAAAAAUCAAAGUUCAAGCAGCAGACUUCUUUUGUGUCUCUGUUUUCCAUGCUACAUUUCCCACAGCACACUGCUGGGAUUUUUUAUUUUUUAUUUUCGCUACGCAUGCUCACACAUCUGUUGCACAUGUGUGAUCAACCGACGAGGUUUUUGAGCCAAAUGUCCUGUUAAAUGGACAGAGUGGGCAGAGCAUUCCUUUGAGAGUCAGACUCUGCCCCUGGUGGAUUGCCGCCAAAUGCAAUGGUGUAAUAAAGAAAAGAAAUCUGCUCAUUUGAAUUGCAUUGAAAUGAACUGUGUCCUCUCCUAAAAUACCAUAUGGUAAUGAUCCCUGGAGGUAUGCUACAUAACACCUAGGUCUGGCAGGCUCCAAUGAAAGGCUGUAAACGUCCCAGUGUAGCUGGGCUGUGAAAGGCAAGAUAGUUGACAAGAAGCAUGCAGAGGGAAACAAGAAUCCUAUCUGAUGUCCCUCAAUCAACUUGAAAUGAAAGAAAGUGGACUGAACAAAGAAAUGCUAGCAAGUCGCCCUGGAGAAAUCCUCCUUCUCCCAUUAAAGUACAGUUCUUGAAUCUCACCUCCAGUAAACUGAAACCUUAUGGAAAGAAAGCUGUUUCACCUGAGCAGUAGCCAGAGUUUCUUUGGAGCAAAUUAUCUCAAUAAGACUCAAGUGUAUGUCUGCAAAGCAAAAUGCAGUCAUCAUAAUCAAGCCUCCACCAGAGCUGAGUACAGACGGGUUGAAUAACUGGAGACGCAGAGAGACUUUACCUCUGCUUUGGCUAGCACUUUCAGUGAACCUCAUCUGAAGGAGGUAGUAGCUGAUGACCUGCACUGCAUGCUCUGAGGUCUCUGAGGAACAAAAACAUAUAUGCACACACCAGGAUUUUAUAGCAUUGAGAAAUUAUGUAAAAUUAAAUAAUUAGGAGUGAGAGUCUGACAUAUCUGUAUGCCAAAGAAUAUAAAGUAUGGCCAGUCUAGUAUAGAGAUUUACAGUAUGGGUUUGGCCUACCACAAACUCCAAAAUCCAUAAGUAAUCAAUCGUAACAUCAUUUAUGUCAUAGAGUGAGUCUGAUCAUUUGUUUAAUCUUUCUUGUAUAAGUUUCCACUAAUUUAGUGUAAAAUUAAAAUAUAUCAUAAAGAAAUAAAAUGAGGAAUUGCAUCCAGACGAAGUUGUUCUUGCUCAUCUUUUUCCUAUUGAACUAUUGAAUUGUAAUGCUCCUAUGUCUGUUAAUGAAGCACAGCAAUUCCCAAGGCUAUAUUUUCUCCACUUUCUCUUUUGACGUCUAGACAACUAAAGUUCACUUACAAGGCUAAAUAUAAAUUACCUAUGCAACUAAUUAUUCUUAACUUUAGUGAAAAUCGAUGUUUCAAAUGGGGCUUAGUAUUUGAUGUGAAUAACUCUCUUGUGAUCAUUUUAAGGAGCAUCUCUAAUUAUUACCUGUAAAACAAAGGCAUUGCAUAACAGAGAAAGGGGCAAAGACACAUUCAAUUUAGGUCAGAUAACUACCUCAUUUAGCCUUAACUACAACUCAGUGAAUGUGAUCAUGUUCUUAUCCCUGACGUUACAGAUGAGGGGAUGGAGAUGAGUCAGAAUGUAUGCCUUGAGAUAGAAUCCUUCUUAGAGACCAUAUUCUUAAACAUUGCUAUACCAGUACACAGUCAGUAGGCUUUGCUUUAGUUUCUGAAAUUCAGACUCUCGACCUAAUAUUUUAAACUUACUUUACUUGUGUUCCAAAUUCAUCAAAAAGGGAAAUUUCUAUUAAUCUAAAUGAUUCAUAGUAUUUUAUUUUAAAAAACUUGUAUGACUAUUAUUUUUCAUGUUUGAAGACUAUGUCUAAAAUGUUAAGGCUACACUCUGUCACUAGUAAUAUUAUAUGCAAACUCCUGGAUCACUUGCCCCAUGGUGGAGGCACUCUGUAGUCUUACUACACAACUUAUUUCAUUUUUCUACUUUUCUAAGCAAAUGCACUCACCCAGAGUAGAGGACUAGCUGGGUUUCAUUGUUUGGUUUUUUUUUUUUUUUUUGGUUUUUGUUUUGUUUUAUAUAAUGAACAGGGGUUUUUGUUGUUGUUGCCGGAUGUUGUUAAAGUGUUUUGAAAGUUUUAAACUUUAAUUCCAAGUUUUCAUUUCUGUGAAGCCCCUUUCUGUCCUUGCAUAUGAGUUAUUUAUUCUUGCAGAUCAUGAGCAGCAAGAUCACUGAUAAACAAAUAACUAGAUAGAUGGAUAGAUUAAAAUAAGUUGAAUAAAUAAAUAAAUAAAGGCUGUUGGAAGUUGGAUACCAGGAAGCUGCCCUCUCUCCUGAUGUUCUUGCUUCAGGAUGAUUUUCGUAAUAUCAACACAGAUGUUUCAUUUUUCCAUUAACUACACAAGCUUCAAAUUUGAUACUCAAAUGCCAAAUAAAUGGCAGCUGUUCUCUGUUGUUGGUAAAGCAGACACUGAAUUCUGAAGCAACCGUGCAAGUCAUACAUUACAUUUCAACAGAGUUCUGAGAGCAGUGCAGUGGACUAAUUAUCCUCUUCACAGAGCAGAGUACUGAAGCACGGAGACUAUAUUUACAAGGUCAUUGAAAAUAUCUUCAAUUGAGACCAGCAAAAUCUACAUUCCACAACAAGCCCCAAAAGGAAUAUAAUGAGCAUUUUAAAGUUUCUUGC